UACGUAGGGGGCAAGCGUUAUUCGGAUUUACUGGGUGUAAAGGGAGCGUAGACGGCUGUGCAAGUCUGAAGUGAAAGGCAUGGGCUCAACCUAUGGACUGCUUUGGAAACUGUGCAGCUAGAGUGUCGGAGAGGUAAGUGGAAUUCCUAGUGUAGCGGUGAAAUGCGUAGAUAUUAGGAGGAACACCAGUGGCGAAGGCGGCUUACUGGACGAUGACUGACGUUGAGGCUCGAAAGCGUGGGGAGCAAACAGG
rnacentral:rRNA from 1 species